AGCAGCCGCGGUAAUUCCAGCUCCAAUAGCGUAUAUUAAAGUUGUUGCAGUUAAAAAGCUCGUAGUUGAACUUCAGGCCUGUCCAGAUGGUCCGCCUUAAUUGGUGUGUACUGUCCUUGGGUGGGUCCUACCUUCUGGCGAAGCGGCAUGGCCUUAAUUAGUUGUGUCGGGGAACCAGGACUUUUACUGUGAAAAAACUAGAGUGUUCAAAGCAGGCAAAUAUGCUCGAAUACAUUAGCAUGGAAUAAUGGAAUAGGACGAUGGUUCUAUUUUGUUGGUUCUAGGACCGUUGUAAUGAUUAAUAGGGAUAGUUGGGGGCAUUAGUAUUCAAUUGUCAGAGGUGAAAUUCUUGGAUUUAUUGAAGACUAACCACUGCGAAAGCAUUUGCCAAGGAUGUUUUCAUUAAUCAAGAACGAAAGUUAGGGGAUCGAAGACGACCAGAUACCGUCGUAGUCUUAACCAUAAACUAUGCCGACUAGGAAUCGGGCGAUGUUGACAAAAUGACUCG
rnacentral:rRNA from 1 species